rnacentral:tRNA from 1 species
GCGGAAGUGGCUCAGUUGGUAGAGCGCCACCUUGCCAAGGUGGAUGUCGCGGGUCCGAGUCCCGUCUUCCGCUCCA